AGAGAAUGAGGUGAAGUUGCUGGGAAUGGAGCCGAGUCCAUUUGCGAUGAGGCCAAGAAUCGCUUUUAACCUGAAAUCAAUAAAUUACGAGUUCGUGGAGGAGACAAUGGCACCCAAAGGCGAGCUUCUUCUUCGAUCCAAUCCCGUCCACAAGAAAGUACCAGUUCUCAUCCAUGGUGACAAGCCCGUAUGCGAGUCUCUCAUCAUCGUAGAGUACAUUGACGAAGCAUGGUCGUCUUCCUCCGCUCCCUCCAUUCUCCCCUCCGAUCCCUACGACCGUGCCACUCACCGAUUUUGGGCAGCCUAUAUCGACGAAAAGGUUGGGUUUUUAAUUCUUAAUGCAUUUCAUCGAACAUCUUGUUCGCAAAACUCUAAAUCCAGCUUUUUUAACGUUUAAUUUCAGUGGUCCCCAUCCCUGAAAGGACUUGGUGUUGUGGAAGAUGAAGAAGCGAACAAAGCGACAAUCGAGCAGUUGGAAGAAGGGUUAGUGCUGUUAGAAGAAGCAUUUGAGAAGAUGAGCAGAGGGAAAGCUUUCUUCGGGGGAGAUGAAAUUGGGUACCUUGACAUUGCGUUGGGAUGCUAUUUGGGUUGGGUGAGAGUGAUGGAGAAAGCUAAUGGAUUGAAGCUGAUUGAUGAGUCCAAGACGCCUUGUCUGGCGAAAUGGGCGGAGAGCUUCUGCAGUCAUGAAGCGGUGAAAGGUGUGAUGCCGGAGACCGAGAAGCUUGCGGAGUUUGCUAAGGUAAUCUUUCCGAGAAUGGCAGGUGGCAAAUAAAUUUGUGGAUUGGGUUUGUUGAAGUACUAAAUGAGUUGUUUUGGUUUUAUGGGUAUUUAUCCUUUGUCAGGAUGGAUUGACUUGUUGUUUGAAACUUGAUAUUUGGUGGUACUCUUAUUAAUAAAUUUCAUUGUUAUAUAAAUAUAUAUCUCUUUCUUUUAAAGUCAAACAUUAUUGUUUGGAGUAAUUCUACAUUUAAUUUUCUAAAAAAAAAACCUUCCCUAAUCAAACUCAAACGUCUUACAUGAGGAGGGAAUAGAUAAAGUUGGGUUGCUAGAGUCAUGAUCCGUCAGUGACAUAUAAAGGCUCUCUCUAGUUAAGAUAUUGAUCAUCCGAGUAUAUAAUACAUUCAGUUCUUAUAAUAAAAAAUAUCUUAAAUUAUUCAACAAUAUCAUUCAAUAAUACAUUAAAUUCAUCAAAAUUUAUGUUUGGAAUAGAUUCUUUAGAAUAUCCUCCAAACAUCCCCUUCAACAAUAAUUUUCAGUACACCUAUAAAAAUUAUUGUCCCCGCAUAUCACACUCAAUCUCAUCCAACCACUAAUACCAAGGGAUGCAACAAUAUUUAGUUUAAAAUAUCUCAUUGGUGGCAUAGCAUAUGAAUGUUAUAUUAAAGGUAAAGGAAUUGGAGGUGUAUGUUGUUCUUGUUCCAUUGCUUGUUCGUAGUCAUAAAGGCCCCUGACCUUGUCAGCUUCAUUAGCAGACAUUAAGGGUCUACCAUUUUCCUACUAUGUAUCACUUAAUUUAUACUCUACAACAUUUUCCAAAACCUUGUCAUAAAUUAUGUUCUACCAUCUUUGUGAGCAAAUUCAAAAUUUAGUCUCAACUAGGAUCAAGUGAUAUCCUUUUUGGUGCUAGUCAUUUUUUAUUUAUAAGAUGUUUUACAGUCUCUAGACAAAAUUUUGUAUUUUUGAUAUCAUUGAGAUGUGCCACAAUGUCUUCUAAUUAGUAUCACUUUUUAUUAUAGACAUCUCAUAUACCUUUCCUUUCUGAGCCAAGCCCUGUAAUACUCACUCUUGACAAAGUAAACCAUCUUUUGUGUAAUACUCAAAUUUAUUAUUUUUAUUUUUUAAUUUAUUUUAAUUUAUAUUAGAAUUUUAGUUUAAUUUGUCAAUAUUUAAUUUAUAAGGUUUUAAUUUAAUUUAAUAAAAAUAAUAAUGAUAAAAUAUGGUAAAAUUAUUUUUGGGAUUUAAUUGGAAUUGAUUUUAGAAAAAAUGGGUGAAAAUUUAGAUUUUGGGGGUGUUUUUGAAAAAAAAAAAAAAAUCGGAAAUCGGGGGGUCAAAAUACAAUUUAGGAAAGUUGUGCCACGUAAGCAGUCCAGUCAGCAACCCCAGCCAACCAUAACACGCCGCGUGGCAAGGAAGCUGACGUGGGAGGCCAUGUGGGCGAUCCACGUGUACGCGAUCGAACGGUCCAGAUCUCACGCGUGCGGACGACCCAGAUCUCACGCGCACGGACGGCCCAGAUCUCACACGUGCGAACGGCCCAGAUUGAAUCACGCACGGACAGCCCAAAUCGCAUUGCGAUUGACGGUCCAGAUUUAUUCCCAUUUUUAUCGCGAUCGGACGGUUCAGAUUAAAUCGUGAUGAACGGCUGAGAUUAAAAGGGGAAUGUUAUAAAUAACUUCACCCACACCCAACCCCAAACCCUAGCCGCCAGUACCCUCGCCGGAGAAGAAGAACCAGUCACCGGAAAAGCCGGCCGCCGCCACCCGUCGCCGCACCGGAGGAUUUUUCGACCGCCAAACGAGGUAAAUUUUCUCUCCUUGGCUCGUUUUUCGAUGCUGAAUUCACCUAUGGCCAAAUCGGAGCCAAACCACCAGCCAAUCGGCUGAAAAAUACCACCGAAAUCCAGUGGCACCGCCGCGGCUUCCCUCAGUUUUUGCCUCCGAUGAGGCCCUUUCCAAUUCCUGUUCGAUGCAAUUUUUACACCACUGUGAUCACUGUCCUUUUCUCUACAGGUUGAACGAAGUAAAACAUCAAAUUGCGACUCGCGCCGGAGAAGCCGCCGCACCCGAGAGCUCCACCGCCGGUAAGUCUCAGUUUUUCGUGAUUUUUUUGCCCACCGAAGCCCUAGGGUUGUUUUAUUGCAGAAACCAAUGCAAGUUUGGCCAAAUUCGGCCGAAAACGACCAACUCGAGGUGGAUCGAUGCCGUGGGCGGCGGUGCCGUCGCCGGAGCACGGCGGAGCCGCCGUGCCAGAAUUUUGAUAUUGGCCGUAAAGGAGCCCUGGGUCUGAUUUGAAAUUUUUUGGGACACGUACAGGUACCGGUAGUGCGUUUCAGUUUUCUAAAAAAAAUUCAAAAAAUUUAGGGACAGCCCGUAGGCGCAUUGUAGAGCUGAUUUCAGACCCCAAAACAAGUAAGGAUUUCUCACCUUAUUUUCUAUCACGGUAUUAAAGCUCAAUAAAUAAUAAAAUAGCAUUUCGUGAAUUAAUAGAUAUGUAUAAUUAAUUAAGGUUGCUAAUGGAGGUCGAGUCUGAUAUAUUUUCGGUCAGUUGUUGUUUUAGUUAUUUUACAGUUUUAAAUGCAUUAUGGUAUCUGAUCUAUUUAUUUUAUGGUUUUGAAUGCAUGAAUCACUGUUUACUUCAUUAUGGCUUGAUUUUGUGAAUCCGAUGAUAUGCCUGCCUUUUUGGAUGCUCGUUACUGAUUUAAAUAUUCAUGAUUAUGUGAGAAACAUAAAACUAAGAAAAAAAAAUAGAAAAUGUAUGUGAAUUGAUAAAUGGAUAAUGUGGACAGCCUGACUAGAUAUCCUGGGAGAUGGUAGAUGGACCGGAUCCGUAGGGAACCCUACCGGGAACGUGGUCUCUCAUAUCGGACGGGGUAUGGAGACCUUAUGUAUUUUGGCGCCCAUACCGGACGGGGUAUGGGGACGACCCGUUUCACCCUCAUACCGGACGGGGUAUUAAGGUUUGUGGUUUUGGCGCCCAUACCGGACGGGGUAUGGAGACAGCCUGUUUCACCCUUAUACCGGACGAGGUAUUGAGGUUCAUGAUUUUGGUGCCUAUACCGGACGGGGUAUGGGAACGGUCAUGGAAUCAGGUUAUUAAUGUUAAUGAUUCACGUGUAGCGGGGACCCCCUAUAGAUCCCCAUGGAUACUAGUAAGCUGGUAAAAGAGGAAAUUUGUUAUUUGAUUAUUGAAGUACAAAAGUAUAACAUGUGUUAUGUUACAAAGUGUAUAUGAUUUUAUGAUGGUUAUAAUGUUAUUGUUUUCAUAUAUUAUUUUCACGAAUCUCACCGGGGUAAGUGGACAGUAAAGAUUUUUAUUAUUAAUAAAUUAGUUUGUUAUAAAUUAUGCUCUAUUGGUCGUUUUUAUUUUCUACCAACCUUUACUCCUGUGGCAGUGAGAUAGUGUGAUGUCUUUACUGGGCUAGUGUAGCUCAUUCCUUACUUAACCAUUUCAGAUCAAGAAGACGUGAUUCCCGACCAGUUCCGCAGGAAGACGGGCGAGUUAGACGCCUAAAGAUUUUAUAGUCCUAUUUAUAGUUUUUGUUUCGAGUAUUUCUUUUAAUUAGCUUAUUUUUUCAUACGUUGAAUACGUUUAUGGGUAUUGUGUAAUGGAUGUUAAUCAGAAUUUUUAUUUCGCUUCUGCAUUUAGAAUUUUUAAUACGUACAUCUUCAUUUAAAUGUCAGGGGUCGUUACAUUUUGAAUAUAUUCACAAUUGUCAAUAAGCAAUCCAUGACUUAUGGGAAUACUAAUUAUAUGAUAUACUUGAAAUAGAGAGAAUAUAUUAUUUACCAAUGACAUAUUUCACAUUGCAUUAUGAUGAAAGAUUAAAUCAAAUAUCUUAUUAACUGUUUGACAGCGAGUAUCGGGGCCCAAAUCUUGUAUCCGUGUUGUAAUUGGACCCACUUAUCUUUUCAUACAUCAAUACCUUGCACAUUUCUGACCAGCCAUCUCAAGCUUUUUUCUAGCAAGUCCUGCCUGACCAAGGUGUUGGGCUAGGAAUAACUUAGCUUAUGUCUCAGUUGAGCACUUUUUAACUCCUUGCUACUUAAAUAUUUUACUCUCAACAACUUACUAAGCGCAAAGUUAAGAUAUUAAAUCAACCUUCAACUUCCUUAGUUAACAUGAUUAGAUUGAAACUAUGGAGGCCUCCAAAACCCUAUACCAUCUUCACUCUUUGAUUCUAAAAGUUUUAACCGUGUAGACCAAUGGAUCUUACUAUCUCCAACAUUUUCACUCCACCAAAAUCUAUAAUUAACUACUUCACUACAAGCAUAUAAAUUUUGAUAUGAGAAAAAUACACGUAAGGUGGGUAGUAAUUACUUGUGCUAUCAAUUUGAGCAUUGUUUCUCUUCCAGCAUGGGAAAGUGAUGCAAUUUAAUUAUAUAUUAUUAAAUUAUAAUAAAAUUUAUCAAAAAAUUAUAAAACAUAUGCAAAUAGUUUUAGGUAUUAUAGAUAUUUUCUAUUAUAUAUAAUAUUAUUGAUCCUUUUAUUAAUUUAAAUUCAAUUAUGGUAUUAAAAUAUUUUUUAAUAAAAGAAUAAAUAGCUUUUUUAAAAAAUAAUUUUUGUAGAAACUAAUAUUUCGUAUAAUGUUACAUAAAUUAGAAAUAAAAAUAAAAAAUAAAUUUAUAUAAAGAAUAAUUGAAUGAAAUGUUUAUUUUUGUAACAAAUAUAAAAUAAGAAAUUUACAACAUUUACAUUUUAGGAAGAUAUUCAUAUUAUUCGUAAUAAAAUUAAGAUAUUCAUGAAGAAAAUUCUCGCAAUUUGACCUAAAAAAAAUAUCAAAAACUAUAGUUAGUUUACAAAUAGACACUUCCUAAUAAAAUGUCCCUUGAUAUUCUAUUUGUAGCAUGAUUAAGUAUAAAUUUUGUAUUAUGAAAAAAGUAAGUAUUUUUUAUAUUUAAUACACCAAAAAUUGUAUCAAAAUGUACUCAUAAGCUCCGGUUUGAUAAAAUUCUUUUCUAUAAAUUUUGCAUUUUUCUAAAAUUUGAUAAAAUAUAUUAUCUAUAAUAAAAUUAAGAUAUUUAUGAAGAAAAAUCUCACAAUUCGAACGAAAAAAUUAACAAAAACUAUAAUUAACCUACAAAUGGAUACUUUCUAAUAAAAUAUCCUUUGAGAUUCCAUUUAUAGCAUUAUUAAGUAUAAAUUUUGCAUUCUAAAAAAGGUAAAUAUUUUUAUAUUUAAUAUACUAAAAAACGUAUCAAAAUUUCUUUAUAAAUUUUGAUUUCGUCUGAUAAAAGUAAUUAUAUUCGUUUAAUUUAUAUAUAAUUUAAUUAGGAUAUAUAGCUCUUAUGUUUGGAUUGUAAAAUAAGUUACAUGAAUAGACAUACAAAUAUAAAUGAGGUAAAAGUUGAAAUGAAAAUUUGAUACACAUUUGAACGUGGGUUUAAAUAUCCAUAAAAUUAGUUUAACACGCGUGCAUGUAUCUACAAUCUCAUUUGAGUUUUCUAUAUUAUUUUAACUUUUUUUUAGAUUAAAACUAUUAUAUUUUAACUCUUGAAGAUUUUUUAAUGAAUAAUAAUAAAGUCACGACUCACAUAAAUUAUGGAUAAGCAAAAGAGAAAAUUUCAAAAAAUAUUUUCUUGGAAGAUUUGAAAAUCUACAUGAUUGGCAUGUGAUUAUUUUUAAAUAAAUGUGUUGAAUUAAGGCAAGAAAAGUAAAUUUUGAAAUCGAUAAUAACAUAAAAGAGAAGAUUAUCAUCGUGUGCAAAGACUGACCGGUUUAAAGUAGACAUAUUGUUACACCAACUCAUAAUUAAGGAUAAUCAUAUAUGAAAACAAGUCUAAAAUUAAUGAGAAAUUUUGUUAUAACUCAGGAUCAAUUCAAUUUAGAAUAGAACUCUAUAAAUUUUUUUGCACAUAGUUCAUAACAAUAGAAAAUCAGUAUCUAUCGCUAGAUCAAUACCUACAAGGUUUUCAAUGUAUCUGAACGAAAGAACACUAAAAUUAUAAGUUGACGGUAACUACUCUAUAAUGUUUGAGUUUGGUAUAAUCAAAUUUUAACUUAUUAAAUAUGUUGAUAGAGUUGUAAUAAUUAAAUUAUAUUAAGUUUUGUUACAUUUCUGAGUUAAAUUUCUUUUAACUAUAUUAAUAAGAAGUAGUUGAAAAGUUGAUCUUAUCUUUUUAAGUUCUUUUUGAAAUUGAGUAAAAUACAUACCACUAAGAAGCUAGAUUGGAGUAGAGAAUUUGAGCGGUUCUUGAAAUUUUAACAGUGAAUGACUCAGCAAAUAAGAUUAUAACUCAUUUUGUUGUGAUGAGCUAUAACACCAAUCAAAUGAAAAAGGACCUAAAUUUUAUAGCUAUUGGAAAUUUCGGUACGUAGACUAAUACUUAAAUACAUGUAUUUAUUGAGUUGAUUGGAAAAUGUUUUAUAUUAGAUUUAUUUGGAUACUUGUCAAAUUUUUUGAAAUUUUCACUACUUUUAAUAUAAUUAGAAAUGUUUGAAGACAAAUUUUGACUUAAUAAUUACUUCCUAUUAAAAAUGAAAUGAAGGUUUGGUUUUGGAUUUAAUCCUAACUUGUGAAAAAGUGAAUAAUCUCCUUUAUACACGGUAAAUAUUUUUCAUUAUUAAAAUGGAUAAUCUCACUUUCAAUAAUUGAGAUUCUUUCUUUUUUAAAUAUCAAGUGGCACUUUUUUUAACCCUUUAUCAAGGCUUAAUGAUUAUGAUUAAUUAAUUAAUUAAUUAAUUUUUUUUUUAUUAUGAUUAAAAUAUCGAGCCAUAUGUUAUCCACACUGUUUAUUUAUUUUUCUAUAUCAUUAGUGUCGUCCAAUCAACUUGCCACAAUCCAUUUUGUGGUCUUCAUGCAAUGACAAAUUUAGUGGCGGCCGAACACUGACCACGUCGAUUUUUUCAUCCAACGGCUACAAAUCUAAAUAGUUGAUUUGAUCCGACGGCUAAAAGGGCCUGACCGAGGUGGAACCUCGUCAUAUUUUGUCUCACACACUUUUGCCCAGACAGUCCACUGGGAAAUGACACGUGAAGCCCUUUCUUUGUGCAGGCAAGGGCAUUUUCGUCUUUGCAUCAUACACGGUACUUCCUGUAAAAAUUAAGGAGAUAAAAAAAAAAGGUUCUCUCUCGUUUUAUUUGGAGAUAAUAGCUUUUCAUUUCUAAACACACACAUCCUACGUCAACAAUAAAAGACAAUUUAUGACUUUUAAAUUUGAUUGUAUACAAAUUUGGUGAAUAGUAAAUGGUAAUGAAUAUUGAGUUAUUAUUUUAAUUCAUAUACGUGACUUAAUUUUAUUAUACAUUUAUGGUAGGAUACUUUUUAAUCAAUAGAUAAUUUUUAAAAUAAAAACUUACCCAUUAAACCCAUAUAUAAUUUAUGCUUGAUAAAAUGUUUACCGAUGUGAAAGCAAUAAAUUCUCAUUAAAUUUUAAAUCUUCAUAUCAAGAAAAUAAAAGGAAAUAAUAAUAAUGAGUCUCUACAAAUUUUGACCAAGACAGAUGACUGUUAUUAAUUCACACAUAAAUUUCAAAUGACCAGUCCACCGAAUGUAGUAAACCCCAAAAAAAAAAAAAAAAAUUAUUACAUGUAUUUGUGUGUGUGUGUGUGUGUGUGUAUGUGUGGACUACAGAAAAUCCAACCCCUUAUCGUGUACGGUCACAAUACCUUACGUUACACGCCAAUUCUGGAAAAAUCCAGCGCCCACCUUUCUAUUCUUGUUAUCAACUACUCGGUCCUCGCCACAUUUACUGCGUUCACAUUGUAAAUCUCUCUCAUAACUCUGUAUACUAAUUAUAUAUAUAUAUAGACGUGUAUGCACUGGAGUUGUUGUGUAUGCAAACCAGGAAGUACCGGAGAAGGAGUCAUGGCAGAGAAUGAGGUGAAGUUGCUGGGUUCAUGGCCGAGUCCAUUUGUGAUGAGGCCAAGAAUCGCUUUUAACCUGAAAUCAAUAGACUACGAGUUCGUGGAGGAGACAAUGGCGCCCAAAAGCGAGCUUCUUCUUCGAUCCAAUCCCGUCCACAAGAAAAUACCAGUUCUCAUCCAUGGUGACAAGUCCGUAUGCGAGUCUCUCAUCAUCGUAGAGUACAUUGACGAAGCGUGGUCUUCGUCCUCUGCUCCCUCCAUUCUCCCAUCCGAUCCCUACGAUCGUGCCACACACCGAUUUUGGGCAGCAUAUAUCGACGAAAAGGUUGGAUUUUAAUUCUCAAUUUUCUUUGAAGCAUUUCAUCGAACAUCUUGUGUGCGAAACUCUGUUAACUCCAGUCUUAUUAAUGUUUGAUUUCAGUG
rnacentral:lncRNA from 1 species